ACCAACCUCCCUUAGGCACUUUCUACAGAGCAGCUAAUCAAAAAAAAAAAAAAAAAACCUUGUUCUUCUCUUCUUCUUCCUCUCUCACAAAUUUGACUUUCAUAGAAGAAAAAAAUGGUGACUACAUCGUCACGAACCAAGUCAAACGGACCGGUGCUUCGUUCACAAUCACCGUCAGGUCGAUUUUGCGGUGGUUACUCAAGAGCCGUUCCGUCAUCUUCUUCAUCAGCUUUCGCUUCAUCAACGAGUUCUAGCUUUUCAUCUCCGUCGUCAGCUUUUUUCAGCAAUCACCGUCAUCACGAGAGCAAUCACAGUCACCACCGAUCUGCGUCACCGACUCGUGUGAAUCUCUACACAGCGCAACCGAUGUCUCAGUCGUUUCGUUACUCUCUCGAUAGCAGAUCUAUAUCUCCGACUAACAAAUCGAUCUCCGUUUCGAAGAAUCAGCCACCGAGCCAUAAUCACAAGAUCUCAAGGAGAUGUAUGUGUUCUCCGACGACGCAUCCAGGAUCUUUCAGAUGCAGUCUACAUAAGAACGUAGCGAAUCCACAUGGUCAAGGUACAGCUUCGUAUACAACGAAUGGAUUGAAUAUGCGUCGAUCUGCGAUGACUAAUUCGCUGGUGAGAAUUGGUGGUGUUGAAGGAGAGUGGGUGAGAAGAGCUUUGACUACUUUGAUUCGACCUUCUUCGCAUCAUCUGAAAAGACGAGCUGCUUAUCAGCCACGUCCUAGUCGACUCUCAAUCAUGGCGAAAGCUGAUGAGAAUUGAUUUUGAUCUGGAUUUUGGUUAAUUCAGGUUUGUUUUGUUUGUUGUUCUUCUCUCUUUAAACGAAAACCACCACAGGAUUUAGUAGAUCCGGCGAAGAAGUCUUGUUAUGAAGCUGAGGUCUGCGAAGAAGAAUCAUCCUCGAGAAAUCGAGAUUUUGUAAAAGGAAGAAACACACACCUAUCAUAAUUUUUUUGUUGUUGGGUGAAAGAAGAUGCUAGAAUGCAUUGUACAUACGUUCUCUUUUUUACUG
rnacentral:misc_RNA from 1 species